rnacentral:rRNA from 1 species
UACGAAGGGGGCUAGCGUUAUUCGGAAUUACUGGGCUUAAAGGGUUUGUAGGCGGCCUUGUAAGUCAGGUGUGAAAGCCCUCGGCUCAACCGAGGAACAGCGCUUGAUACUGCAAGGCUUGAGGGAGACAGAGGUAAGCGGAACUGAUGGUGGAGCGGUGAAAUGCGUUGAUAUCAUCAGGAACACCGGUGGCGAAAGCGGCUUACUGGGUCUCUUCUGACGCUGAGGAACGAAAGCUAGGGUAGCGAAUGGG